ensembl:rRNA 5S_rRNA 5S ribosomal RNA
GACAGCAGCCAUAUCACCCUGCAACUCACAACUGGCAACCCACUGAAGCUAAGCAGGUGUGAGCCUGGUCAGUACCUGGAUGUGAGACCUCCUAGGAAAAACUAAGGUUGCUGCUGGAA